rnacentral:misc_RNA from 1 species
AGAUGAAGAACGCAGUGAAAUGCGAUAAGUAAUGUGAAUUGCAGAAUUCAGUGAAUCAUCGAAUCUUUGAACGCACAUUGCGCCCGCCAGUAUUCUGGCGGGCAUGCCUGUUCGAGCGUCAUUUCAACCAUCGAGCCCCCGGCUUGUGUUGGGGACCUGCGGCUGCCGCAGGCCCUGAAAAGCAGUGGCGGGCUCGCUGUCACACCGAGCGUAGUAGCAUACAUCUCGCUCUGGGCGUGCUGCGGGUUCCGGCCGUUAAACCACCUUCAUAACCCAAGGUUGACCUCGGAUCAGGUAGGAAGACCCGCUGAACUUAAGCAUAUCAAUAAGCGGAGGA